rnacentral:lncRNA from 1 species
GGGAUGGAGUCCCCUGCAGUUCUAGGUUUUGCAUGGGACCGAGUGGACCCUCAGCGCCUCACUCCUCAAUGGCUAUAGGGUAGCCCUCGGGCUGCAGAGGCUUUGCGGGCAGAUGGGGUUAGAACUGCUGGAGAGGAGGGAGAAGGGCCGACAGCAGAAACCAGAGCGUCCUGUGAGAUGAAGAAAAGGCCGGGAACCUGUGGCCUGGAGUGCACAGGACUCACACUGCUGUAUGGAGCUUCAGACUGUCCGUGGGACCGAGCCUUUCCCUGAGGCCUCUGAGUGGCAGCUCUCUCAACAGCCUCUGAGUUCCUCCCCUAUAUAAACUGCGAAAUUUACAAAUCCAGGUCAUGAACCUCCUGAGAAAUUGGAUCCCUGUUCCCAUGUGGCAGCAACUAGAGAAGCUCCGUGGCAGCUUGACCUGAGGUCAAAUAGUCAGAUGAAGCACAAUGUGGAUGGCUUGGGUUUCUAUUCCAUGAGUCUGCAGCCUCAUCUGGGAAGACUGGAACGACUGGGGGCUGGAAGUGUCUGGAGCCUGGGCCGAAAUGACUCAGAGACUGGACUCAGUUGGAACUGUCAACAGGAACAACUUCAUGCGGCCUCUCCACCUGGCUUGGGCUUCCUCACAGCAUGGUGGCCUCAAGGAUAGUUGGACUUCUUACAUGACAGCACAAUUCUCAAAGGCAAGAGUUACAGCAAACCAGGCUGAAGCUGGAUAGCCUUUUAUGAGCUAAUCUUGGAAGUCAUAUAGCAUCACCUCCAUUGCACCCUGUUGGUCAGAGCAGCCCAAGCCCUUCUAGAUUCAGGGGGAAGGACUUAGAGUCAUGGACACAGACGUAGACCUGCACUCCAUAGGAGGAAUGUCAAAGGAUUUGCAGCCACGUUUUAAAACCACCACAGUGAGUUACAUCCACUAAUAGGAAACCAGAUUUCCCUUAGAUCUAGUUUUGGGAAUACACUUCACUUGACUGUCAACACUCGGCGCUUCCAUCAAGUACAGGAUGAGGUCCAAAUCCCUUGGCAUGAAAACCAAAGUCCUUCCUAGCCUGGUUCCAGCCUGCAUUCCAGCAUCCAUCCUUGGUUGUCUGCAUUCCCGCAAGUUGGCUAAAUGCGCUCACACAAGCAUGCCACUGUGGUUCUGAGGACUGUGGCCCUCAGGGGGACACACUUUUGUUUCCUUUCUUUUCUUUUUUUGUUCUUUUUUUUUUGAGACAGGGUCUCGCCCUGUCGUCCAAGCUAGAGUGCAGUGGCACAACCAGG